GUAGGUGAACCUGCGGAAGGAUCAUUACAGAGUUCAUGCCCUUCGGGGUAGAUCUCCCACCCUUGAAUAUUAUACCUUAGUUGCUUUGGCAGGCCGGGGCAACCCCCCGGGCUCAGGCCUGGGAGUGCCUGCCAGAGGAAACAAACUCUGUUUUUAGUGAUGUCUGAGUACUAUAUAAUAGUUAAAACUUUCAACAACGGAUCUCUUGGUUCUG
rnacentral:misc_RNA from 1 species